UCUUCAAACUGACUUCCAGCCCAAAAAGCUCAGCAGCCUCUGCAAAGCAAGAUGUCAAACACUGCAGAGCUAUUUCUGUGUGGGCGACAAGGGUGGCAUCGUCAGCAUAAAGCAGCUCACGGACAAGAUGAUUUAAGGUCUUAGUGUGGGUCUUCAGUCGCCUUAGGUUGAAUAGGUUCCCAUCGGUACAAUGUCGAAUGUAGAUACCGUUUUCAUCAUUGAGGUCUGCCGUAGCCCUUUGGAGCAUCAUGCUGAAGAAGACUGUGAAUAAAGUUGGUACAAGAACGCAGCCUUGCUUCACACCAUUGGUUAUU